AGCCACCUGGCCUCCAGGAGUCCCAUGGGGUGAGUCACAGGCAGCAAGCGGGACUAGCCCUUCCUCCCUGUUCUCUCCUCGGUAGGGAACUCAGCUCUCGCAGAAUUCAGGGUGAGAGGCACAAAGCACAUUUGCUUUUGUUCUGCUUGCUUUUGGUACUGUUUCUAUGUCACAUGUUCCUAUGAUUCAGUUUUUUUUUUUUUUUGGCAUUAUAGUUGAAGAAUUAUAAAAUCUGUCGUCU